UACAGAACAUUCAUCCCACAGCAGCGGAAUGCACGUUCUUCUCAAGCACAAAUGGAACAUUCUCCAGGACAGAUCAUAUGUUAGGUCACAAAAGAAGUCUCAUGAAUUUUUUUU